AUUGAACGCUGGCGGCAGGCUUAACACAUGCAAGUCGAGCGAGCGGCGGACGGGUGAGUAAUGUCUGGGAAACUGCCUGAUGGAGGGGGAUAACUACUGGAAACGGUAGCUAAUCCCGCAUACCAUCAGAUGUGCCCCGAGGGGAUUAGCUAGUAGGUGGGGUAAUGGCUCACCUAGGCGACGAUCCCUAGCUGGUCUGAGAGGAUGACCAGCAACACGGGAACUGAGACCCGGUCCAGACUCCUACGUGAGGCCGCAGUGGGGAAUAUUGCAAGAGGGGCGCAAGCCUGAUGCAGCCAUGCCGCGUGUGUGAAGAAGGCCUUCGGGUUGUAAAGCACUUUCAGCGAGGAGGCGGUACUCGCAGAAGAGGCACCGGCUAACUCCGUGCCAGCCGCCGCGGUAAUAC
rnacentral:rRNA from 1 species